rnacentral:rRNA from 1 species
AUUGAACGCUGGCGGCAGGCCUAACACAUGCAAGUCGAGCGGCAGCGGGAAAGUAGCUUGCUACUUUUGCCGGCGAGCGGCGGACGGGUGAGUAAUGCCUGGGGAUCUGCCCAGUCGAGGGGGAUAACUACUGGAAACGGUAGCUAAUACCGCAUACGCCCUACGGGGGAAAGCAGGGGACCUUCGGGCCUUGUGCGAUUGGAUGAACCCAGGUGGGAUUAGCUAGUUGGUGAGGUAAUGGCUCACCAAGGCGACGAUCCCUAGCUGGUCUGAGAGGAGGAUCAGCCACACUGGAACUGAGACACGGUCCAGACUCCUACGGGAGGCAGCAGUGGGGAAUAUUGCACAAUGGGGGAAACCCUGAUGCAGCCAUGCCGCGUGUGUGAAGAAGGCCUUCGGGUUGUAAAGCACUUUCAGCGAGGAGGAAAGGUUGGUAGCUAAUAACUGCCAGCUGUGACGUCACUCGCAGAAGAAGCACCGGCUAACUCCGUGCCAGCCGCCGCAGUAAUAC